CACAUUUUAAAUCUGAAAUCAUCGCCGCCGUGGUUCCGAAAUCUCAGGCGACGUUGUCGCCCUAAGGCCGACGUUGCUCCGCCUGAAAACGCCGCCACCGCCGCGCACAGAGUCGCUGCUGCUGUCUCUCAGAUUUAGGGGAGGCCGCUCAAAAUUGAGCCUUAAUUCUCCCCCUUCCAGAUCGAGCCCUAGCUCUUCUCCUGCCGAUUCAGUUCGGCCGUUGCCGCCGCGUGUGGAAUACCUGCAAAUCGGCGUCCUCCAUCUCUCUACACAUGAAGUCUGAAGUCAAAGCCGGCUGCUCCUCUCUCUCCUGUAACGGACUAAUCGCCGCCGCUUCCACUCCGGUGGAGUCGUCGGGUUCGAGCCACGCCGUUGCUGUUAAGUAGUUAACGUUGCGGCGGGUCAUGGAUACUGCAAAGCAAGUCACUAAAUCUGGAGAGUUGAACGAGUUCUCAAUGGUCUUGCUAAACAAUACCCUCUCCUUGGCUUUGGGACUUUUGCUCAUUUUUGUUUUCAAUGAGGUCGAUUAUCUUUCACAAACACCACUAUUGAGACUGCCUACGUUCUGGCUGGUGAUGACUUUUAGUGGAUUCCUAGGUUUGGCAAUCAGCUUCACGUCCAUGUGGUUUCUCCAUCAUACAAGGGCUACUACGUACAGCCUCGUCGGGUCAUUGAACAAGAUACCCCUUUCUGUUGCUGGAAUCUUCCUCUUCAAAGCAACAAGUUUGGAGAACUCCGCAAGCAUUUUCUUUGUUUUGGAUGCGAGCAGUUGCUGCCAGGAAGAGCAUUUGAUAGUCAGCAACUUUAUGAUGAUUUUUAGGUUCAGAGGAUGCUGUUUAUGACUUGAGAUUCCUCUGUAGCUUAGGUUCCUAAGUUUGAGGGGUUUUUUUUUGACUGAUCAAGAAAAUAUUUUCCAGAAUUCAGAGAAAAAAAAAUGUGAAGGUUGUGAGAAUGACUACUCCGACUACUCAGUUCGCGCCCUCCAGCGGCGGCGGAAAAUAGAGAAGAAGGAGAGGAAGAAGAUCCUGUGUGAUUGAAGGAGUUUCUAGAGAAAUCCGAGCUCAAAGUGAAUGAUGAAUUCACGUCCAAAUGCUUCGAAGUCAAUAAUAGUUUGUUGUAUUUUAAUUGUAGAUUGAAUUGAUUCGAAUAAUAUUUUGUUGUAUUUUGAUUGUUGAUUUAGAGGAAUUGAUGUAUUUUGAUGGUAGAUUGAGUUGUUGUAUUUUGGUGUUGUACAACAAUUUGAUUGAACUAUAUAAUUAUUUUUUUAAUGUUCUUAAA